UUUUUUGUUGUUUCUACUUUUGUUUGAUUUGUCUUUUUUUUGCUUCCUGACUUAAGGCACCGAUAAUACGCUGUCAUGUGUACAGUAACAUUCAAGAUGGAACUGGAGGAGCAGGGAACAUAGAGUGAUGGGGAAGAAAAGAGGGAAUCCCGAGCAGAGAAAACUGGGAAAAGAACUAGAGCUCCUUUUAGAAGAAAAUUCAAGAUCUGGCAACACUGUGCCCAAGCUUCUCUAAGGAAGAGAUUGUCAAAGUGUGGUGCCUGGACCAGCAGCAUUAGCAUCACCUGGGACCAGUUAGAAAUGAAGAUGCUCAGGCUCCAUCCCAGACCUGCUGGGGCUGGGGCCCAACAAUCUGUGUUUUAACAGGCUCCCUGUGUGACUGUGAUACGUGAUGCUCCAAGGUAAUUGGCCACUGAAGAAAGUAAAGACUGUUCUACACCUAAGAAGCAAGGACUCAAUUACAGCAUGUGUUACUGCAUUAUAUCAUUUAAAAUAUUCAAAAUUAAUGGAAGGAAUAAACACAGGCUAAAGGAUGAUUUAAAAAAAGAGUUAAAUGCUGGUUUGAAUCCUUACUUUUUAAUACCACUUUUUAAAAAGGUUAUUUUAUUUGCAUGCCAAGUAUCUACAAAAUAAAACAUCUCUUCAUGACCUUUAGAUUUUAUUUUUGAUACCAGAAACAUUUUUCGUGCAGAAGAU
rnacentral:lncRNA from 1 species